AUUACAGAGUAGCAGAUCAAUCAAUAUAUUUUGCCACCGCCAACUUACCAUCAAAGAGACAAACGUGAAAUUGUGCUUAAAAAAACAAAAAAAUUACUAAAGAACAGGAGAAAAGGAAAUUCAGUAACGAAUAUGAAAGACUGGGCCACCUACAUAGCCCCUUACAUUAGGAGACGCCGCACCGCCGAGCAAGACCUGGUGUACAACUUUGGCGAGCAAUUGUUGAAUGAAAUAGAGAGCCUCUGCAUGAACAAUCUCUUCUCGGACGUGUCGUUCCUCGUGGAGGGGCAGCGCCUGCCAGCGCACCGCUUGAUUCUAGCGACUCGCAGUCAGUACUUCCGGGAACUGCUCUUCGGUGGCAUGUGCAAUUCAAGGGAACAACUGAUUCGGCUGGAGGUGCCGCUGGAGGCAUUCAAAGUAAUACUGGGCUACCUUUACGCGGGCACUGUGCCCUUAUCCUUGGAUACGGAUGCUAUCGUGCAAGUGUGCGAUUUGGCCAAAAUGUAUGGCUUGCUGGAACUCUGGACGGUCAUAACCAGAUACCUAAACGGCCGUAGUGUUUCUUAGAUGACCCUGUUCAGAGAAAGGCCGUCAGGCAAGGAACUGGAGCGGGCGUGCAUAAAAGACAAUGUUCAUAAGUUCUUCUCAACAAUUCCAAACAAUCCAGCAUACCCGAUUUGCGCAUAGCAAAUUAUAUAUGUAAUUUCUGGCAAAUAUAAAUUUACAUAUUCAUUUUGAUAAUCAGCUGAUUCAUACCAAACAUUUCAGUGUGACCAAGCAAAUGCAAGAAUAAUCGGAAUAGAAUAAUCAAAACCGAACCACUUUCGAGGAUGUAAUUUUCUUUAUUGGGCGUCUAUUUGGGUGCUACAAAAUCAAAGGAUGUGCAGAAAACGAUCUCUCUAAGCUGACUUGAGUUGCAGGAACAGAGUGCACACAUCCUCGCCAGUUUAUACAAAUUACUCCGCACCAUUCAUUCUCUAUUCAACUUGGAGGUGCAUCAAAUGGAGAGUAAAAAUAGUACGUUCCAUAUCCCACCUAUUCUAUCCUACCUUCCUAUCCAAAAACAUCGUUUUUCAAUUGUAUCCCUGGUAUAAGGCAACCCUGUCUUAUGUGUCAAAGCAAAGACUAUACAAUACAAUAGACUUUGACUCUACAGACAACUUCGGAACUAAAAGUACAACUAAAAUUCUAUUGAAAUAAAAUUUCAAACUUCUACAAUCAAAAUGAUUCGCGCCUUGCAGCCCGAUAUGCGUGCGGUCGAAGAGCUGGCCAAAAAAGAGGUUCAAGCAAAUAUUUUCGUAUUUGUCUUGACCUGUGCCCUGAUACGCUUUGUGCCAAAAAUAAUACGCAAGUUCUUUUAGAGGUCUUUUAAAGAUCAUACACUGGAGGGCGCUGCUGAGAGUAGAUGAUUUGAAAUUCGAAAUCCACACUGACACAAAAUGUUCACUACCAGAGAUUCAAUUCAGACAUAAUGCAUUUGUUAAUUAUCUAAACACUCGUUAACAAUAAACAUAAGGGGUACCAAGCAGAUA
rnacentral:misc_RNA from 1 species